rnacentral:rRNA from 1 species
GCGUGUGGUUUAAUUCGAGGCUACACGAAGAACCUUACCUGGGCUUGACAUGGCGGUAGUAGCGACCUGAAAGGGGAGCGACCUUCGGGAGCCGUCACAGGUGCUGCAUGGCUGUCGUCAGCUCGUGUCGUGAGAUGUUCGGUUAAGUCCGGUAACGAGCGCAACCCUCGCCGUCAGUUACAAGUGUCUGGCGGGACUGCCCGUUGAACGCGGGAGGAAGGUGGGGAUGACGUCAAGUCAGCAUGGCCUUGAUGUCCAGGGCUACACACACGCUACAAUGGCCGGCACAGCAGGUUGCCAACCCGCGAGGGGGAGCCAAUCCCGCAAAGCCGGUCUCAGUUCGGAUUGCAGGCUGCAACCCGCCUGCAUGAAGUCGGAGUUGCUAGUAAACGCGCAUCAGCCAAGGCGCGUUGAAUACGUUCCCGGGCCUUGUACACACCGCCCGU